rnacentral:lncRNA from 1 species
UUGGGGGACCCCCCAGACCUAUCAGGGACCCCACAAAUCUAUUGGGGUCCCCCAGGAUUAUUGGGGACCCCCCCAAAUUUAUCGGGGACCCCCAAUGUUUUGGGGACCCCUCAGUUUUUUUGGGGUCCCCAGGGAGUGUCCACGCAGUGUGGGGGGGUGCUGCAGGGUGGUGACCCCAGGUUUUGGGGUCCCCCCCGAUUUUGGGGUCUCCCCCCCAGGUGCCUUCAAGUCCCUGGAUCGGGAUGGGAGCGGCCAGAUCCGCGUCAGCCUCCAGGAGUGGCUGCAGCUCACCAUGUACUCCUGAAGCACCUGCGAUGGAUUUGGGGUGGGGGCCCGGACCCCCCCCCCCCCCCCCCCCCCCCCCCCCCCCCCCCCCCCCUAGGGGCCGCCCCCCCCCCCCCCCCCCAAAAUAAAGCUCCCGGCCCUACACGGUGCCUUUGGGGUAUUUUUUUGGGGUGGGGGCUCUGGGAGUGCUAUAGGGGGGGUAUAGGGGAUGGGGGUCCUAUAGGGGUAUAGGGUAUUGGGGGUUAUAAGGUGUAUAGGGUGCUAUAGGGGUGGGGGUCCUAUAGGGGUAUAGGGUAUUGGGGGGGAUAAGGUGUAUAGGGUGCUAUAGGGGAUGGAGUACUAUAGGGAAUAUAGGGUAUUGGGGGGUAUGAGUAUAGGGUUCUAUAGGGGAUGGGGGUCCUAUAGGGUUAUAGGCUAUUUGGGGGGUGUAAGGAGUAUAGGGUGCUAUAGGGGAUGGGGGUCCUAUAGGGUUAUAGGAUAUUUGGGGGGUAUAAGGUGUAUAGGGUGCUAUAGGGGGUGGGGGUCCUAUAGGGGUAUAGGGUAUUGGGGGGAUAUAAGGAGUAUAGGGUGCUAUAGUAGGUAGGGAUACUAUAGGGGAUAUAGGGUAUUUGGAGGUAUAUAAGGUUUGUAGGGUGCUAUAGGGAGUGGUGGUUCUAUAGGGGAUAUAGGGUAUAUGGGAGGGUAUAAGGAGUGUAGGAUUCUAUAGGGGAUGGGGGUCCAAUAGGGGUAUAGGGUGCUAUAGGGGAUGGGGUGCUAUAGGGGAUAUAGUGUAUUUGAGGGGGUGUAAGGUUUGUAGGGUGCUAUAGGGGGUGGGGUCCUAUAGGGGAUAUAGGGUAUUUGGGAGGGUAUAAGGAGUAUAGGGUGCUGUAGGGCAUCCAGAGUGCUAUAGGGGACAAAAUGUUUAUGGGUGCUAUGGGAGGGGUUAGCAGUAUAGGGUGCUUUAGGGGAUGGACGUAUAGGGUGCUUUAGGGGGUCGUGGGGAUAAUGAGCAGUAUGGGGUGCUAUAGGGGUCUCUAUAUGCUUGGGUCUCUAUAUGGUCAGGAUGGGGGCUCUGUAGGGUCUCUAUAGGGGCAGGAUGGGGGUUCUGUAGGAUCUUUAUAGGAUCUCUAUAGGGUCAAGGUGGGGGCUCUUUAGGGUCUCUAUAUGGUCAGGAUGGGGGC